rnacentral:tRNA from 1 species
GUUUAGAUAGCUCAGUAGGCAGAGCAUGGAGUUGAAAACUCUUGUGUCAUGGGUUCGAAUCCCAUUCUAGACA